GUCAGAGUGGGACAGUGGUUUGAGUGUUGGACUAGGACUCCAGGUGACUAGCGUUCAAAUCCACACUUAGACA